GGAAAUGUUCUUUCCCCAUUUACGCUGAUUGAAUUCUAGAGGAUGCAAGACACUAAGAUCUGAACUGUUGAAAGGAGGAACCAUAGAGCUUCUUGAUGGGUUUAAUUUACAGUCAGUUUAAAGAGACUGAAACUUUUUCUGUCUUUAUAUAUAUAUUUGUUUCCUGUCACAGAAAAUGUUUUAGCAGAAGGGGAUGAUACAAGGCAGUGUUGUGACCCUCUGAAUGCCUUGGAGAGAUUUAAAUGGGGCAAUACCUUGUUUUGUCGCAGCUUCUGUCUCCAUCCUGUGAUUCUUUUGCACUGCUUCAAAAGAAGCACAGUGUUACACUUGCGAAUUUUAAACUCCAACUUGACAGGAAACACACAGCUGAAAUUCAGAAUAUUCCGAGGAACAUGUGCAGCUACGCGGGUAGCAUCCUGAAACCUUUCAGACGAACACAGCUGGUUACAUCCGCGACGUGGGAUACAGGGACGUGCCGCUCCACAGAGUUGUUAUUGAGUGCCACCACGUGGGCGCUUGUGUCCACUGCUCAGGUCUGUGCUGACCCGGACAAGAUGUGACAUUCAGACUAUGAAAGUCUGAGCCCGUGCCUUAGCUUCAGCGCCAGGUUGGACUGGGCUUUGAGCAACCUGGUCUAGUGGAAGAUGCGUCUGCCCGUGGCCGGGGGGUUGGAACUGGAUGAGCUUUAAGGUCCUUUUCAACCCAAACCAUUCUGCGAUUCUGUGAUUAACCAGAGCUAUUGCACUCUACACUGAAGGUGAGGAAUGAGCACCAGUUUUAUUUAGCCAUGGGGUAACAGCUUCUCCAGCUACUGCUGUUUUCUAUAUACAUGUGAGCUUUUACACUUCAGAGGUGCAGAGAAAGAACCUGCCCUAUAUAGACACCUAUAGAAUCAAAAGCUAUUGUGUGGGUAGAGCCAACUUCAGUGAUAUUUGGAUAGUUGCAUUUUCCAUGAAGCUGGCAGUCAGGUGGCAGGCACAACCAGGUUUGUCAGAUAAGCAUGUGUGUAAAAUUUUAGGAAAUGGCAGCAUGAAGUAUUAGGAUCUUGCACUUAUCAUGGUUAAACUUCAUGAGGCUGGCAUCAGCCCACCUCACAAGCGUGUCAAUAUACACUAUAUAUAUACAUUACAGGAAGAAAAUAAGUUUCUAUAAAUUUGUAAAUGUCGCAGCUAAACAACUGAGGACUACUUAUUUUAAUCUGAAAUAUAUUGAAUAGAGUGUGUGGUAGCUGGCAGCAUGCAAAACUUCUGUUUGCAUUCAUCUGUGAUUUUUUUUUUCAGUUUUCUAUUUCUGGGUUCAUGUAUACAUGAAUUUUAAGCUAUUGGUAAUAAAGUAUUUCCACUUUAACCA
rnacentral:lncRNA from 14 species